AGUCGAGCGAGGUGCAAUACCUAGCGGCAGACGGGUGCGUAACAUGUGGGAAUCUGCCUUUUGGUUCGGAACAACACGGGGAAACCUGUGCUAAUACCGGAUAAGUCCUUACGGAGAAAGUUUUAGAUGCCAAAAGAUGAGCCCGCAUUUGAUUAGCUAGUUGGUGAGGUAAAAGCUCACCAAGGCGAUAAUCAAUAGCUGAUUUGAGAGGAUGAUCAGCCACACUGGGACUGAGAUACGGCCCAGACUCCUACGGGAGGCAGCAGUGGGGAAUCUUGCACAAUGGGCGAAAGCCUGAUGCAGCGAUGCCGCGUGAGUGAAGAAGGCCUUUGGGUUGUAAAGCUCUUUUGUCGGGAAAGAUAAUGACUGUACCCGAAGAAUAAGGUCCGGCUAACUUCGUGCCAGCAGCCGCGGUAAUACGAAGGGACCUAGCGUAGUUCGGAAUUACUGGGCGUAAAGAGUAUGUAGGCGGCUAGAUAAGUUAAUUGUGAAAGCCCAAAGCUUAACUUUGGAAUUGCAAUUAAAACUAUUUAGCUGGAGUAUGAUAGAGGAAAGCGGAAUACAUAGUGUAGAGGUGAAAUUCGUAGAUAUUAUGUAGAACACCAGUUGCGAAGGCGGCUUUCUGGAUCAUUACUGACGCUGAGAUACGAAAGUAUGGGUAGCGAAGAGGAUUAAAUACCCUCGUAGUCCAUACCAUAAACGAUGAUUAUUAGAUGUGGGGAAUUAUUUCUCUGUAUCAUAACUAACGCGUUUAAAUAAUCCCCCCGGGGAAGUACGACCGCACAGUUUAAAACUCCAAUGAAUUGAACGGGG
rnacentral:rRNA from 1 species